rnacentral:rRNA from 1 species
CAGUAGCCACGGUAAUACGUAGGUGGCAAGCGUUGUCCGGAAUUAUUGGGCGUAAAGGGCUCGCAGGCGGUUUCUUAAGUCUGAUGUGAAAGCCCCCGGCUCAACCGGGGAGGGUCAUUGGAAACUGGGAAACUUGAGUGCAGAAGAGGAGAGUGGAAUUCCACGUGUAGCGGUGAAAUGCGUAGAGAUGUGGAGGAACGCCAGUGGCGAAGGCGACUCUCUGGUCUGUAACUGACGCUGAGGAGCGAGAGCGUGGGGAGCGAACAGGAUUAGAUACCCCUGUAGUCCCUGUCUCUUAUAC